UACGGGGGGGGCAAGCGUUGUUCGGAAUUACUGGGCGUAAAGGGCUCGUAGGUGGCCAACUAAGUCAGACGUGAAAUCCCUCGGCUUAGCCGGGGAACUGCGUCUGAUACUGGAUGGCUUGAGUUUGGGAGAGGGAUGCGGAAUUCCAGGUGUAGCGGUGAAAUGCGUAGAUAUCUGGAGGAACACCGGUGGCGAAGGCGGCAUCCUGGACCAACACUGACACUGAGGAGCGAAAGCCAGGGGAGCAAACGGG
rnacentral:rRNA from 1 species